rnacentral:lncRNA from 1 species
AAGAUCAUCCAACUUCAGUGGGUUCCAGAGUCACCUGUCUGGCUACCCCAGAGUGACCUGCUCAGAUCUGGGCUGGGAUCUGCCAAUGCGCAUUUCUGACAGGUUCACUGGAAGGGUGAUGCUAAUGAUCUGGCACUGGCUUUAGAGCUGGGAGCUGGUUGGAAGUUAACCCCAGGGGACAGGAAACAUCUAGACCUUCAUAUGUGUGCUGGAGUUAUGCGGUCUUCUCAGUUUUGUUUUCCGGUUUGCAUCUGGGGAAGAGAAUCUUUGAAUUUGAUCCCUCCAAUAAAAAUUCUUCUUGCCCAAAC